rnacentral:rRNA from 1 species
AGCGAACGCUGGCGGCAGGCCUAACACAUGCAAGUCGAACGAACCUUUCGGGGUUAGUGGCGGACGGGUGAGUAACACGUGGGAACGUGCCUUUAGGUUCGGAAUAACUCAGGGAAACUUGUGCUAAUACCGAAUGUGCCCUUCGGGGGAAAGAUUUAUCGCCUUUAGAGCGGCCCGCGUCUGAUUAGCUAGUUGGUUGAGGUAAGGGCUCACCAAGGCGACGAUCAGUAGCUGGUCUGAGAGGAUGAUCAGCCACAUUGGGACUGAGACACGGCCCAAACUCCUACGGGAGGCAGCAGUGGGGAAUCUUGCGCAAUGGGCGAAAGCCUGACGCAGCCAUGCCGCGUGAAUGAUGAAGGUCUUAGGAUUGUAAAAUUCUUUCACCGGGGACGAUAAUGACGGUACCCGGAGAAGAAGCCCCGGCUAACUUCGUG